rnacentral:rRNA from 1 species
UACGAAGGGGGCUAGCGUUGCUCGGAAUCACUGGGCGUAAAGCGCACGUAGGCGGAUUGUUAAGUCGGGGGUGAAAUCCUGGAGCUCAACUCCAGAACUGCCUUCGAUACUGGCGAUCUUGAGUCCGGGAGAGGUGAGUGGAACUCCGAGUGUAGAGGUGAAAUUAGUAGAUAUUCGGAAGAACACCAGUGGCGAAGGCGGCUCACUGGCCCGGUACUGACGCUGAGGUGCGAAAGCGUGGGGAGCAAACAGG